GCGCCAAUGGUCUAGUGGUUAGGAUGCGGUCCUCCCAAGACCGAGACACGAGUUCGAAUCCCGUUUGGCGCA